GUUUGUAGCUUGCUAGCCUGCUUAGCAUUGCUUAUUCUUAUGUGUUCAUAGUUUUAUCCUUUGCCAUUUUACCAUGUGCUUUUUUUUGUUCCGCUUUUCUACUGUUUCUGUGCUUUUCUUUUUUUCCGCUUGUCUACUUCUCACACUUCGACUGUGUGCAUUAGUUUUCUCCUCUGUGUUUUACACAGAUUAUUGCAUCAAUCUCAAUCAUCUGCUGAUCAGGAACCACAUCACACCAUCUCAAACCCUCGCCUUAUAACAACCAUAACAACAACAACAUCAAUUGUGAUUCAUAUCCCGAGGUUACCAGAACCGGCCAGAUCCAGCUCCGUUCCUGCUUUGUGUCAGAAUCCACUGCUACGUGUCGCUGAGUGAUUACGACAAACUACAGCCAGUGCUAGCCAGACAUCACUUCAGUCUUUUACAUUGGACUUCAGAGGAUGAACUGAUGCCAACUCCAACUGUAAGACAUCGAAUACUUCAUCUGCCACAGCCUGAACCUUGGAUUUAGGAUGGACCUCACCGAAAUGACCUGCUGUUUGAACUGCGAUGAACCUCACUGAUCUCUGCCUGCAUCACCUUUGUUUAUUGAUGGACUACACUUUUGAAGUGGAAUACAUAGACUAUCAAUUAAUUGUCAACAAAAGCCUUCAUCAGACAACUUACAAAGGACAAUGCAUCUAUGUGAACUUCUGCAGUUAAUCCAGGAUGGACUUCAAAAGAUAUUAGUCAUUAAUCUCACAGUUCAUACAAAAUAUUUGUUAAAACACUGGCCCUUAACACUUACGUAGUUUACAAAUUUUAAACCAUGACUUGCACUGGACACAAAUAACUAAUGUUGCCAUUAUAUUCAUGCUGUUUAGCCAGAGGGGAACUGGCCCCCACAAUGAACCUGGUUUCUCCCAAGGUUAGUUUUCUCCAUUAACCAACAUUUUAUGGAGUUUUGUGCUCCUUGCCACAGUCGUCUUUGGCUUGCUCACUGGGGUUCUAAAUACAAUUAUUAUUUAACUAUUUAAUUAUUACACAAUUUACAAUUACACAAUGAUAACUCUAAGACUUUAUAGAUAUUAUUUGGAUAAUACAGAAAUGCGUGUUUGACUAAAGUUUAGUCGAGUUAAUCAGAUGCAAGGUAAGUUGAAGAAGUGUUAGCAGCUAUAGUACCAUGUUAGCCUAGCUAGCACAUUGUAGUUAAACUGGAUUUCUGAGGCAGCUGGGUUUGUAGUGUGAACUUGGUCUGUUUGAAUGGAGCACUUUAUUCUUAGUUCAGAACAUAAUCAAUCUAAGCAUUUUCCUGUCUCCCUCGGGGUUACAGGUCAGUCCAGCUCUAUAAGGGAGUGCUCUAACUCUUCCAGUCACCGAUCACACCAUGGAAGUGAUAGAAGACACUCCACUUCUCAUUUUCAGUUGCCAUUGGGUUCAUCUCCUGGCUGUUACUACUCAAGACAUGCUCAGAGAAUAUUUUGAAGUGUUUUUUUUAUUGUACAUACAAUAACAUGACCCUGGACGGUCUGGCGGAUGUAUCUGAUAUGUGUCAAAUGUUUUAAUGGUACUUUUUUGUCAGUUGUCUUAUUUUGAGAGUAAUUAUGAAUAUAAUAUGAUGAUAUAAUAAUAUAAUGAAUAUAAUAUAUAAUCAUGAAUUCAUGGUUGAAAUUAGAUUGAAUUCAAGUCAUUGAAACAGCCAAAUAUCAACGCUGUUGAGAUGUCAGGCAAAGUUGUCUUUUCAACAUCUAUUCAGCAAGUUUUUGCUGGGUAGUAAGCAAUUUUAUAUAAAUACAUUUGAUUGAAAAAGUUGCUAUCAAAUGCUCACCUAAACGGUGUAAACAAUGUUUAGCAAAGCAGUGUAACUAAACUAUCAGCAGAAAAGCUUAAACGCGCACUCCGGUCCGCAGAACUGAUGACGUUUGAAUGCUGUUGCACGUGCCAACAGGCACUGUUAAAUUCACCGCUGAUUGCUGAGGCUCACGUGUAUGAAUGUUAAGUUUUGCACAGAGAGUGCUCUGGUAUUUCAGAUGGCGAGACAAUUUGAUAAAAAAUCAGUUGGAGGGCCAGACAAAGAUGAUUGGUGGGCCAGAUUUGGCCCGUGGGUUGCCAGUUGACUAGCCCUGCUCUAAGUCAUCUAUUCAGUCAUCUGUCCUCCCACACAAAUACAAUAAACACACAAAUGAUGUCACAUGA